GGCUAUAAAAAGGCUUAAGAGGUCGAUCGAAGAAUCAAGCAGAACCCAUACUCCAAAGAAAAUGAAGGCCUUCCUUAUCAUUUGCGUCCUCUUGUCUUCUUUUUUUGUCAUUCCGUCUCCAAUUGUAGCUCGAGAGUUGACUCAUAAUGGUGAGAAAUUAAACUUGUCAAACGGCAAAGUUGGUUGUCGCAAACUUGAAGGUGUCAAAGAGGGACCAGUAUGCAAAGGUAAACGAAAGGGUAACUGCCGGUGCCCUGUAUUCAAACCUAAUUGCUGAGCCUCCAAACCUUUCAGUGAAGAAAUAAUGUGGCCGAAAAAUAUAAUAAAGUGCUAUAUAUGUGAUCGAAUAAUUGAUCUAUAACUGUUGUCUAGCUAUGACAUCGCGUGUAAUAUAAGGUAUUUCUACAAUAAAUGAUGCUGGUUUGACAAAAA